ACGAACGCUGGCGGCAUGCUUAACACAUGCAAGUCGAACGAAGUACCUGGCUUCGGCUGGGAUACUUAGUGGCAGACGGGUGAGUAACGCGUGGGAAUCUACCUAGUAGUGGGGAAUAACUAUGGGAAACUAUAGCUAAUACCGCAUACGCCCUGAGGGGGAAAGGCUUCGGCCGCUAUUAGAGGAGCCCGCGUCAGAUUAGGUAGUUGGUAGGGUAAAGGCCUACCAAGCCGAUGAUCUGUAGCUGGUUUGAGAGGAUGAUCAGCCACACUGGAACUGAGGCACGGUCCAGACUCCUACGGGAGGCAGCAGUGGGGAAUAUUGGACAAUGGGGGAAACCCUGAUCCAGCAAUGCCGCGUGAGUGAAGAAGGCCUUAGGGUUGUAAAGCUCUUUCAGUAGGGACGAUGAUGACGGUACCUACAGAAGAAGCCCCGGCUAACUCCGU
rnacentral:rRNA from 1 species